UUGUGUUUGAUGUGCUUCCAGAACGACUAGGAAGGUCAAUCAGCAGUCGAUGGUUCUGGAGAAGAGGAUGGAGCCUUCUGGCGAAAGAAUCAUAUCCAAGGAGAAUUGUUGGAAAACGGGAAAAGAAGAUUCAGAAGCUAUUCAACUUUACUUUUCUGGAUAUGUCAAAAACUUACAUGCUUGGUACACAAGACAUAACCAAAGCAAAAUACAUGUCUGGGAUGGAUUGUCUGUCAUGGCCACUCGGUGACGAGAAGGUGAAAAGGAAGGGUAGGAAACCCAAGCUCAAGAAACUCAUUGAACAACAACGAGCCUCAGGACAGUGGUAGUGAGCUUCCAGUGGCGCUGCCACGCCACGUUCCCUUAUGCUCAGGCCUUCUUACAGCACGGACCGGCAGCCAAGAGGACGACCCUAGUUUAAUGCUGCCUGGCUUCAUGGACGUGCUUCUGCCAUUAGAAGGUCCUUGUCUCGUAGGUAAUUCAGGUUUGGUAUGUCACAGGAAAGGAUGAAGAGAAAAAAGCUGAGCACAUUGUUCCAAGUUCUACACCACAGCGUUGUUUUUUCAUCUCUAGCCUGAGAGGAUGUGUGCUUGAUUUGGCCCCCGGCUUGGACUACCUCCUCGGCUUGUCAUCGGUGGUGUUCGGCCCCGACUACAUGCUCUCCGGUGAACUACUGGUUCACCUUCAGUUUUCCGGCUCCCAUGUGCUCUUGGAUUGGCGGUGAUGUUCAGCCUCGGCUACAUGAUCUCCGCUCGUCAUUGAGGACAUAUGUUGUGACCUCUAGUGUUGUGAUCUGAUUGGAAGAUCACUGCUGGCCUAUGGCUGGGAGUCCGACGAUCCUCCCUUCCAGGGCGCAAACUUGUCACGGUGGCCCCACGUCGACAUGUUGUCCAGGCGCCCACCUCAGUGGACGCAGUGAAGGCAGGGCGAGUGGUGGAGCUGAAGAACGCAAAGGUGGACAUGUAAAUGCGCCAGGUGGGUGGGCAUAGCCGUGUCAGAGCUGAAGGUGAUGGAGGCUACAUCCUGUCGCUGAUGGAGUUAGAGCCGGGGACCAUGUCAAGGUGAGAAGAGGAUCUGCGUAGGAAGAAGGCGACGCUCUUUCAUAUUGCCAAUGUGUGUUGGAUGUUGUUGCUGACACUGGAUGAAUUAUCACUAUUGUUGUGUAGACCCAGGUGGUGUUGCCUGUGAUCAAAACUAUUGCAUCGACUAUUGCUGUGGUGAGGUGAUUUUUUUACUGGAUACUUGGGUUAGCGACACUUUGUUCCCUUUUUGUACUGAUUGCUGAUGCAAAGUGAUGGGAGGAAUCAUUCUUGUCAA